UCUCGACGUGUACCUCCAUAAAAACACAUUGUAUGAUCAUACGUAUUUGUAACUUUAUAAGCCGAGUAAAAUUAUAAAUAAAUACGGUUGACACUUUUGUACAUAUAUAUAUAUCGAAAAUCUUAAAUGUACGUGAGACAAGUUUAGUGGAAACUGGAAAAUAGAUUCAUGGCCGAUUUUGGUGGGUGAGGCUGACAACGCCAUAUCACUCUCCGAC